AGCUCCCACGCAGCUGGAAAGGCUGGUCUCACUGUCAGCAUGCUCCCCCAACAGCAUCAAGUUUAUUUCCAGGCAGCAGGCGAGCAGGGCUGAGAACUUGUCCCAGGCUACAAGCCUCCCUGCUGACAACAGAAGCAGGGCUUUCAGGUUUUAUGCCUCUCUGCCUGCCACAGCUUCUGUGCUUGUAUCUGCACUCCCUGUUUGACCCCCUCCCCAGAUUCUGUCCAGGAAACUUCAUGUUCGGUAGAAAUUGUUAUAAAAUUCAACUGGAAGUUUUCCUCUCCCUCUGGUUUUUCCUCAAUUCCACUGGCAGCCCUCCCCAAGUUGCAAGAUAAAGACAGAAAAGGCUUCCCUGAGGACUGAGAGUGCCCACAGGGCUCUUGCUGCUGCUUUCUCUACCCCUAUAUUUUGUGCGGCUCUCAGCAUUUGUCUCAGCUCCAGGAGAUGAUUCCUCCAGUUCUUUAAGGUAGUAAUGAAUGACAACAAGAAGUUACUUCUCUAUGCUACACACGGUGUAGAAUCCAGAGCCUGACUGGCUGUGACGCGCCCAUGGUGACACCAAGGGGACUCUGCAUGGGCACAUCCCGGCCCUCCUCCCUGCAUGUUCUCCAAGCCAGGUCUUUGAAACCUCCAGUGAUGGGAAUGACAGAAUCUGGGAUGAUUUUCUUCUGUUUCUUAUCUAAAAAAACAACAAAAAGCUCAGCAUACACGGACUCACACAAACCUUUUGCUAGAGGCAGCUCUGUAGACUUAAGACGCUGUCAUUUUUCAGAAGAACCCAGCUUGCUUUGGAACUACAGUCAGCCCUGCAACCCACCCUCACCUUGGACCCUGCUGCUGCUGUCUGUAAAGGGUCUGGAUGAAGGAAGGGAGCCUCCAGCUUGUCGGCUGUACUUGCCCAGAAUUUAGCCUUUGCAACAUGGAGCUGCGGGGAUGGGAAAUGUUGUCCACUAGCCUUCCACAAUGCUGCGAUGAAUACACCUGUGCAUUCUUUUUUAGAACAAGUGUAAGAAUUCCUAUGUGGUAAGUCUGUUUAAAGAGAAUUUCAGAUUCACGUGUAGAUGUGUUAAGUUUGAGCGAUGUUGCCAAACUCUCUUGAACUUAUACCCUCUGUAAUAAUAUAUUGGGAUAUUUGUUUCCUUUUGUUCUUGUCAGUUUUCAUACUAUAAAACUUAAACAUGUUUGACAAUCUGACUGGAAA
rnacentral:lncRNA from 1 species